rnacentral:SRP_RNA from 1 species
GGUCGGGUACGUGCGAGAAGUGCCGUAAACCCGGUCAGGCCCGGAAGGGAGCAGCCGUAGCGGAAUCCUUCUGUGAUACGCUGUCUGGCCGCC